ACCGGUUUGGCUCAGUGGAUAGAGCGUCAGGCUGCGGACUGAAAGGUCCCAGGUUCGAUUCCGGAUUCUGGUC
rnacentral:tRNA from 1 species